GACGAACGCUGGCGGCGUGCCUAAUACAUGCAAGUCGAACGCAGUGGGGACGGGUGAGUAACACGUGGGUAACCUCCCGUCAGAGGGGAUAACCCUUGGCAACAGGUGCUAAACCGAUACUGAUGGAUGGACCCGCGGUGCAUUAGCUAGUUGGUGGGGUAACGGCUCACCAAGGCCAAGAUCCAUAGCUGAUCUGAGAGGAUGAUCGGCCACACUGGAACUGAGACACGGCCCAGACUCCUACGGGAGGCAGCAGUAGGGAAUCUUGGACAAUGGGCGAAAGUCUGACCGAGCAACGCCGCGUGAGUGAAGAAGGUUUUCGGAUCGUAAAGCUCUGUUGUUAGAGAGGCGGUAUCUAACCAGGAAGCCACGGCUAACUACGUGCCAGCAGCCGCGGUAAUUC
rnacentral:rRNA from 1 species